GUCCAGGAUAGUCAUUGGAAGGACUGAUGCUAAGGCUGAAACUCCAAUACUCUAGCUACCUGAUGCAAAGAACUGACUCAUUGGAAAAGACUGUGAUGCUGGGAAAGAUUGAAGGCAGGAGGAGAAGGGGAAGACAGAGGAUGAAAUGGUCGGAUGGCAUCACUGGCUCAAUGGACAUGAGUUUGAGCAAAUGAGCUGAUGAUGUACAGUCAGACGGAAGUCUCCCAUCACUGUCGAGUUCUACUGGAGCUGUUUCCCCCACCUAAUCGUCUCCCAAGCCUGUCUGCUCAGUUCAAGCCCCUGUUACCACAUAGAAAAAUCAUCAGUCUCAUCACUUCACUGUAUGCCUGAAACUCUGCAAAUCAACUCUCUGCUGUGCUGUGCUAAGUCGCUUCAGUUGUGUCUGACUCUGUGUGACCCUAAGGACUGUACCCUACCUGGCUCCUCUGUCCAUGGGAUUCUCCAGGAAAGAAUAUUGGAGUGGAUUGCCACGCUCUCUUCCAAGGGAUCUUCCCAAUCCAGGGAUCGAACCCUGGUUUCCUGCAUUGCAGGCAGAUUCUUUACCAUCUAAGCCACGAGGGAAGCCCCAAUAAUCAAC
ensembl:lncRNA